ensembl:rRNA 5S_rRNA 5S ribosomal RNA
GUCUACAACUAUGACAUUCUGAACGCGUCCGAUCUUGUCUGCUCUCGGAAGCUAAGCAGGGUCGGGCCUGAUUAGUAUUUAAAUGGGAGACCACCUAGGAAUACCAGGUGCUGCAGGCA